rnacentral:rRNA from 1 species
AUACGUAGAUGGCAAGCGUUAUCCGGAAUGACUGGGCGUAAAGGGUGCGUAGGCGGUUGUUUAAGUCAGAUGUGAAAAUCCCGGGCUCAACCUGGGAACUGCCUUUGAAACUGGACGUCUUGAGUGCAGGAGAGGGAAGCGGAAUUCCUAGUGUAGCGGUGAAAUUCGUAGAUAUUAGGAGGAACACCAGUGGCGAAGGCGGCUUUUUGGGCUGUAACUGACGCUGAGGCACGAAAGCGUGGGGAGCGAACAGGAUUAGAUUCCCUGGUAGUCCGCGCUGUAAACGAUGAAUGCUAGGGGUGGGGUGUGAAAGCUCCGUGCCGCAGUUAACACAAUAAGCAUUCCGCGUGGGGAGUACGGCCGCAAGGUUGA